CGCGUAGGCGGUUGUGUAAGUUGGAAGUGAAAUCCCCGGGCUCAACCUGGGCACUGCCUUCAAAACUGCACGGCUAGAGUAUGGGGGAGGAAGGUAGAAUUCCAGGUGUAGCGGUGAAAUGCGUAGAGAUCUGGAGGAAUACCGAUGGCGAAGGCAGCCUUCUGGCCUAAUACUGACGCUGAGGUGCGAAAGCAUGGGGAGCAAACAGGAUUAGAUACCCUGGUAGUCCAUGCCGUAAACGAUGUCGACUAGGUGUUGGGGAACUUGAUUCCUUAGUGCCGCAGCUAACGCAUUAAGUCGACCGCCUGGGGAGUACGACCGCAAGGUUAAA
rnacentral:rRNA from 1 species